ACUUGGGGAUAACCUUGCGAAAGUAAGACUAAUACCCAAUGACGUCUCUAGAAGACAUCUGAAAGGGAUUAAAGNUUUAUCGGUGAUGGAUGGGGAUGCGUCUGAUUAGCUUGUUGCGGGGUAACGGCCCACCAAGGCUACGAUCAGUAGGGGUUCUGAGAGGAAGGUCCCCCACAUUGGAACUGAGAUACGGUCCAAACUCCUACGGGAGGCAGCAGUGAGGAAUAUUCGGUCAAUGGGCGAGAGCCUGAACCAGCCAAGUAGCGUGCAGGAUGACGGCCCUAUGGGUUGUAAACUGCUUUUAUAAGGGAAUAAAGUGAGCCUCGUGAGGCUUUUGCAUGUACCUUAUGAAUAAGGACCGGCUAAUUCCGUG
rnacentral:rRNA from 1 species